UACGUAGGGUGCGAGCGUUGUCCGGAAUUACUGGGCGUAAAGAGCUCGUAGGCGGUUUGUCGCGUCUGCUGUGAAAACUGGAGGCUCAACCUCCAGCCUGCAGUGGGUACGGGCAGACUAGAGUGCGGUAGGGGAGAUUGGAAUUCCUGGUGUAGCGGUGGAAUGCGUAGAGAUCCGGAGGAACACCGACGGCGCAGGCAGCGUCCUGGCCGCUUGCUGACACUGAGGCACGAAAGCUGGGGGAGCAAACAGG
rnacentral:rRNA from 1 species